CAUUAGUCGCAGUAGCGAAGACACGGAAACAACCUAAGUGUUCACCAACAGAUGAAUGGAUGAAGCAAAUGUAGCAUAUAUACACAGUGGAAUACUAUUCAGCCUUUAAAAAGAAGGAAAUCUGGCUAACUGCAACAACAUGGAUGAACCUGGAGGAUAUUAUAUAAGUGAAAUAAGCCAGGCAUGGAAAGUUUUUGUAGAGAUGAAGUCUUGCUGUGUUGCCCAGGCUGGUCUCCAACUCCUGUACUCAAGCUAGCUUCCUGCUUUGGCCUCCCAAACUGCUGGAAUUAAGUUGUCUGCCCUAUUGCUCAACAAGAUAAAAUGUCUGGGCUGGUGGCUGGAGGCUGGAGGAAGAAUCUGGAAAGAGAGAGAGACUGUGGAAAAGGCAUAGAAAGACCUUUGAACUAGCAGAACAUAUUUCUUUGAGGGACUUAGGAACUUCAUUCUGCAAAUCUGUUUCCAAUGCCUGUUAAGUACAAAACACCGUGUGGACAUGUUCCUAUUCUCAAGACGUUUGCUAUACAGUAGGAAGGAGAGGAGGGCCUGCUCUCUGCCAAACACUGUCCUAGGAGUUUUGCACAAUCCAUUGAGUAUUCUCUAUAUUUUUAACAGCCCUGAGAGAGUCUGGAUCCAUUGCAGCCAUUUUGAAAUUAACAAAUAAUAAGGGAAGGCCAACAAGGACAGAUGUAUAAAAGUAUAAUGAAUCAUAACAAGAGCUUCAUCCUCCUGGAAUUAUUGGUUUAGUAGUACGAUUUGGGAAAAUGAAUACAAUCACAAGGUGGGAACUUAACCAAAGAUGGUCAGAUCAUUGGGGGAAACAGCUCUCAGAAAGUGAGCAGCAUCUAGGUGUGAUAUGAAAGUGUUCUGGGCUUGGAGGGCCAGAAGAUUACUAUUUACGACAUCACUGCAGUUCUAGUUGUGUGGUGGUGGGAAGGACACUGAAAUUUCUUGACCUCACUGCCCUAAUUUGUUAAAUAUAAGAAAUAAUAGAGCUUUCUACCUUAUUUUAAGAAUUAAUGGGUGGAUGUAUGGGAAAGCAGUUUCUAAAACGUGUUACAAAUUUAUGAUUAAGAAAGCCA
rnacentral:lncRNA from 1 species